rnacentral:lncRNA from 10 species
UGAACUUUUAUGUAAAGCCUUUCAAGACUUCUUUUUUCUUAUGAAAUCUGGAGAAGAGGAAGUAGCCACACUUUCUCAGAUUCCCUCUACUAGGGGGAUGGAAUGGCUACAGAGAAACCUCACUACUCAGGGACCCAUAAAUGAAAAAACUGCCCAGAACAUUAGUUCAAUGAGGAGGAAAGGAGGUGCAAAGUUUAUACGUCAUUCAAAGGGGAAAUUGAUUCCCAUCUACCGCCCAAUUUGAGAAAUGCAUCAUUAGGCCAUCUCAUUGUUGUGUGACUAUCAUAGAGUGAACUUACACAAAUCUAGAUGGUAGAGCCUUCUACACAUUCAGGCUUCUCCAGCACAGGGAAUGUCUCAGUGUUGGUUCAUCAUUGAUUCCUCAGCACAAGACCUGACUUAAAGAGACUCAAUAAAAUUUUUCAGAAUGAAUGAAUGAAAAAACACUGUUGCCUGAAUCCAGCCAUGGUGCUACCACGAUCACAAAUUCCCUGCCCUUUUCACCCCAACAUUUCAUCCCCCAUUCCUGGGUGGAACAGAGUGGAGACUGCAAAGGAGGAAAUGGGGUCAAUACCCAGUUCCACAGCUCUGGCUAAGGGCUGGAGGUUAGGGCAAAACUUAAUCAUUCAAAGCCUGGUCUCCUAGGCCAGUGUCAAAUGAAUCAGGCCUAAACUGAUCAAGACCCUCUGCCUCACCCCUACCCUCUCUUCUCUAGUGGAAUUGGGAGAAUAUUUGACAAUUCUAUUACCCUUCUUGCAAGACUUCAAAUCCAUUCGUGGUUCCAUAUGGAAUUCCCAGAUGAGAAAGCUUUUGAGGACAAUGAAGUUAAGAAAUGGAAGAAACCUGGCAGGCGACCUUCCCAAAUGAGAAGGAAUCAGCUCUUUUGGUUUAUGAUGUUUGAGGGUGUUUCCCUGAAUCAAGUUAAACACUUCUCUAGUGCAUUACAGUAGGAUUCUAGAUGAGAAGAAAUGGUCAAACAAUAAACAUGGUCAAUAUACAGUAUCUCAAUGUCAACAGCAUUUAUUGCAGUAUUUGUGUGCCUUUGGAUUUAAUGUCAUUUCUCAAGGAUAUGUCCAUUUCUGAGAGAGGAUUUAUGGAAUGGCUGGUAUAUUAAUACUCAUAUUAUCUCAAUUAAUUCUUAACACAACCUUAUGAGACUACUGGAAUUAUUUACAUUUUAUUGUAGGGUAUGUCAUUCACCAAAUUUUAUGCUUACCAAAGAUGAGGAUGAAAUUAUCUACAUUCCAAAGUCAAUAUAAGUUGGGUAGUAUAUUGGAUCAAAGUAUACUGAUGUUGCUUCUAUUGGUUUCUCAUUUUUCCACUGAAUCUUUUAAUGCAGACAGGACUGUAAUGUAGAAAGGUUUUAAAAUAGAAGCUUUCAAAUAUUCUGUAAUUUUGGUUAUCAAAGCUUAGUAUUUCCAGUAAAAUAUUAUUUUCCACUCUCUCAUCCAUCUCAAUCAAAAUAACAAAUUAGAAACAAAGCAUAAAUAAUUUUCACUUCCUCUACAAUCCAAAAGAAAAGCCAAAGAAGUAAAAUAGAAAUGAAUGUUCAGACAUACCAAUUCCCCUCCUGUGACUAUACCCAAGAAAUUGAUAAGCAUAUGUUAAUGCAAAAAUGUGUGCACAGGUGUUCCUAGCACAUUAUUCAUAAUAGCCAGAAAAGUGAAAGCAAUCAAAUGUUCAUCAAUUGAUGAACGGAUUAAUAUUCAUGCAAUGGAAUAUAUACAGUGUAUUCAUGCUCUGCAGUAUUUUCAGUCAUAAAAAGGAAUGAAGUACUGAUGCGUGCUAUAAUAUGAACAAGCCCUGAAAACGUUAUGCUAAAUAAAAGCAGCCAGACACAAAAGAUCACAUAUUUUAUGAUUCCAUUCACAUGAAAGGCCCAGAAUAGAGAAAUCUAUAGAAGCAGAGUGGAUUAUGCAAAUGAAGGUAGAGGGAAUUAGAACUAACUGUGGGCUAUAGUUUGAAUUUUUUCUCCUAAAUUCCUGUUGAAACUUAAUCCCCCAUAUGGCAGCAUUGAGAGAUGGGCCAUAUAAGGGAUGAUAGGAUCAUGAGGGCUCUGUCCUCAAGAAUGGAUUAAUCCAUUCAUG